CUUGGGAUGAGCCCCCGGCCUAUCAGCUAGUUGGUGAGGUAAUGGCUCACCAAGGCGUCGACGGGUAGCCGGCCUGAGAGGGUGACCGGCCACACUGGGACUGAGACACGGCCCAGACUCCCACGGGAGGCAGCAGUGGGGAAUAUUGCACAUGGGCGCAAGCCUGAUGCAGCAACGCCGCGUGAGGGACGACGGCCUUCGGGUUGUAAACCUCUUUUAGCAGGGAAGAAGCGAAAGUGACGGUACCUCAUAAGACGAUC
rnacentral:rRNA from 1 species